UGGUAUGAAUGGUUAAAUAUUUAUUUUCCUUUAAUUUUUUUUAAGUAAUAAAUUGUAAUUAAAAUAAAAAUAUUUUAAUUUUUUUAAGGGACGAUAAGACCCUAAAAGCUUUUAUAAAUUUUGUUUAUUUAUAUAAAAUUAGUAAUUAACUGGGGAAGUAGUAAUAAAUAAUUUUUUAUGAAAAAUUUCUUAUAUAAUAGAUAAAAUGAUUAAUUAAAUAAUUAAAGUUAGAUAUAGUUACUUUAGGGAUAACAGCAUAAUAAUUUUUUAAAGAUCAUAUUAACAAAAUUGAUUAUGACCUCGAUGUUGAAUUAAUUUUUUCUUUAGGGGCAAAAAAAAAAAAGAAAGGUUUGUUCAACCUUUAAAUAUUUACGUGAUUU
rnacentral:rRNA from 1 species